CGUGUGACGCGUUGACGUGUUGGGGGUUGUGUGUUGGGUUGUGUGUUUUUCCCAAGUGUUUUCCGUGGAAAUUACCGUGUUAGCUGUGGUUUAAAAAUAGCAAUCGAAGGUUUUAACGCACCGUGAAGUAGCGGUGGCCGGUGGGCGCUCACUCCUGCUUGGGCAACACGUUCAGCGAAAAGUUGGCGCUGGUCUCGUGCUUCUUGCCCUGCGCGCGCACCGAGUACUGGCCGACGUCGGUGGGCACGCAGGCGGGAAUCAGCAGCUGGUGCUUGGUCUUCUCGCCGGUCAUCUUGAGGUGACUGUAUCGCUGGACUCUCCGGGCUCCGACGGGCCCGCCUGGUUGACGGCGAUCACGCGGAACUGGUACUGCUCACCCUCGCUCAGGUCCGGCACCGUGCCGCGCGUCUUGUCGCCGGGCACCUCGGCGGCCUUCUCCCACAUACUGGUGGAGGGGAGGCCAGGUCAGGUUCUCCACCUCCGUCUCGCAGUUAUCGUCAGGAGUCUUCUUCACCUGAGUGGCGAGAGAUGGGACGAACGUCAGGUGGAGCUCCACCAGUCGCGGGCGGGCCGGGUGACGUGGCCGUGGGUCGGCUACCAACUGCGGAGGAGCCGCGAUCCCGGCCACACGGGCCCCCAUCGGACCGGACGGCGACCCCUCCUCAACUCUGAGGCGCAUGGACCUUCAGCACGCAGUGAGGUCAGCCCGCAAGGGGACAGAUAGCGACGUCCGCGCCCGUCCCUGUCCGGCGCCCGGCCGGCGACACCAGCACAUGCACGGCUACCACGGACGCAAGCGGGGGUCGGUUCGGCGCCCUACCUCGAUGCCACUACUUGAGCUUUUGGUCGCCCUCGUGCCCAGCGUGCUGGACGAGACCUAAAACGCAGGUCGCUGACGUAGUCCUGCAGACCAAUGUCCCACAGCUGCUUGAUCUCGCUCCAGAUGAGCCCUGCGCGGCGGACGGACCGAGUUUCAGCCGGCCGGCGGUCCGCCUCAUAAGGCCAAUUGUGGGACACGGGAGACGGCGGCACCGCGGCGCGGGCGGCGAGCGGCUCGGCAACAAGGGAACUGAUCUCCGCCCGGGGGAUAUCCAGCCGCGGCUCAUAUGUCAGCGCGCGCUCUUCCUGAACCUUAGUGGGCUCGAUAUACGGACGCAUAGGGACACGAGCACCACUCUGGAAAUUUUGUGUUUUGAUGUGGUGCUAUGUUUUUGGAAGGGAAGUGUUCUUUUGAUUGAAGACCAUGCCAGUGAGGAACGAUCCUUGACCACUGCU